AUGACACUGACAGCCAGCGAGCAAACAACAACAAGUCAGGCAACGAGGAAACGAGUAGCAGGAAGACAAUACAUCCAACAAGAAGACCAUGUCGCCACCUCCACCUGCAAAGCCGCCACACACUUGACAACCACACCAAUCGCCCCUGCAAACCCCCAACUCACCCAGGGCGGCACCUUCAGGAAGAUGACGAUGCAUGAAACGUCGCUGCCGCCCAGUCUGAAGAGACUAGAGUUUUCACCUGGGCAUGCGAGUAGGAGGGAAGGGGUAAACGCACCUCGACGGCGCCUCCAAGGAGGAAGACGGCACCAGGAGGUCUCGUCGUCGUCGUGGCCGGGAAUCCAGCCAGGGAUUUCUCCCGAUCCGUUAGCACCCCUCCAGCAGCCCCGUCAACAGCGGAUCCGGCGACCAGCGGCGGACAAGGGGCAGAUCUGA
rnacentral:rRNA from 1 species